CACACCUACGGGGCGCAGCAGUGGGGGAUAUUGCACAAUGGGGGAAACCCUGAUGCAGCGACGCCGCGUGUGGGAAGACGGUCCUCUGGAUUGUAAACCACUGUCCCCAGGGACGAAAAUGACGGUACCUGGGGAGGAAGCUCCGGCUAACUACGUGCCAGCAGCCGCGGUAAUACGUAGGGAGCGAGCGUUAUCCGGAAUUACUGGGCGUAAAGGGUGCGUAGGGGGUUUCUUAAGUCAGAGGUGAAAGGCUACGGCUCAACCGUAGUAAGCCUUUGAAACUGGGAAACGUGAGUGCAGGAGAG
rnacentral:rRNA from 1 species